rnacentral:snRNA from 1 species
UCACCACUCUGGCCUAUUGGCUUAGAUCAAGUGUAGUAUCUGUUCUUUUAGUCUUAAUUGUCCUAGACAUCUGUUGGGAUGUCAAGGGCGUAGGCACU